GCACCCGUAGCUCAGUUGGUUAGAGCACUACCUUGACAUGGUAGGGGCCGGUGGUUCGAGUCCACUCGGGUGUACCA
rnacentral:tRNA from 1 species